rnacentral:rRNA from 1 species
CUCUUGGGGCUUCGGUUUCAAGGGAGUGGCGCACGGGUGAGUAGCGCGUGGGAACCUGCCCUGUUGUGGGGGAUAACCGAGGGAAACUUCGGCUAAUACCGCAUACGCCGGUUGUCUUGAAAGAGAUGGCCGGGAAAGAUUUAUCGCAGCAGGAGGGGCCCGCGUCGGAUUAGGUAGUUGGUGGGGUAACGGCCUACCAAGCCUUUGAUCCGUAGCUGGUCUGAGAGGAUGAUCAGCCACACUGGGACUGAGACACGGCCCAGACUCCUACGGGAGGCAGCAGUGGGGAAUAUUGGACAAUGGGCGCAAGCCUGAUCCAGCAAUGCCGCGUGAGUGAUGAAGGCCUUCGGG